UUGCUUUCUCCGCCGGCGACCGGCGCACGGGUGAGUAACACGUAUGCAACCUGCCCCUGUCAGGGGGACAACCCGCCGAAAGGCGGGCUAAACCCGCGUACAUGCCACCGGGGCAUCCCGGAGGCAGGAAAGGCUUCGGCCGGACAGGGAUGGGCAUGCGGCGCAUUAGGCAGUAGGCGGGGUAACGACCCACCUAACCGACGAUGCGUAGGGGUUCUGAGAGGAAGGUCCCCCACACUGGUACUGAGACACGGACCAGACUCCUACGGGAGGCAGCAG
rnacentral:rRNA from 1 species